rnacentral:rRNA from 1 species
UACGGAGGGUGCAAGCGUUAUUCGGAAUGACUGGGCGUAAAGCGCAUGUAGGCGGUUUACCAAGUCUGAUGUGAAAUCCCUGGACUCAAUCUAGGAAGUGCAUUGGAUACUGGUAGGCUAGAGUAUGGGAGAGGAGAGCGGAAUUCCUGGUGUAGAGGUGAAAUUCGUAGAUAUCAGGAGGAACAACAGAGGCGAAGGCGGCUUUCUGGACCAUAACUGACGCUGAGAUGCGAAAGCGUGGGGAGCAAACAGG